rnacentral:rRNA from 1 species
UACGAAGGGGGCUAGCGUUGUUCGGAAUUACUGGGCGUAAAGCGCGCGCAGGCGGCUAUCCAAGUCAGUGGUGAAAGCCCGGAGCUCAACUCCGGAACUGCCAUUGAAACUGUUAAGCUCUGAGUGAGAGAGGUGAGUGGAAUUCCCCAGUGUAGAGGUGAAAUUCGUAGAUAUUGGGAAGAACACCGGUGGCGAAGGCGGCUCACUGGCUCGAUUCUGACGCUCAGGCGCGACAGCGUGGGGAUCGAAACAGG